rnacentral:rRNA from 1 species
UACGUAGGGCGCAAGCGUUGUCCGGAAUUAUUGGGCGUAAAGAGCUCGUAGGCGGUUUGUCGCGUCUGUCGUGAAAGCCCACGGCUUAACCGUGGGUCUGCGGUGGAUACGGGCAGACUAGAGGCAGGUAGGGGAGAAUGGAAUUCCCGGUGUAGCGGUGAAAUGCGCAGAUAUCGGGAGGAACACCAGUGGCGAAGGCGGUUGCCUGGAGCUUUGCUGACGCUGAGGCGCGAAAGCGUGGGGAGCAAACGGG